GCUUAUCCCCAUUCCAGAUUGAAUAUACCCGAUCUCGUCUGAUCUCGGAAGUCAAGCAAUCUCGGGCUUGGUUAGUACUUGGAUGGGUGACCGGUUGGGAAUACCAAGUGUGAUAAGCA
rnacentral:rRNA from 1 species